rnacentral:rRNA from 1 species
GAUGAACGCUGGCGGCGUGCCUAAUACAUGCAAGUCGAGCGAAUGGAUUAAGAGCUUGCUCUUAUGAAGUUAGCGGCGGACGGGUGAGUAACACGUGGGUAACCUGCCCAUAAGACUGGGAUAACUCCGGGAAACCGGGGCUAAUACCGGAUAACAUUUUGAACCGCAUGGUUCGAAAUUGAAAGGCGGCUUCGGCUGUCACUUAUGGAUGGACCCGCGUCGCAUUAGCUAGUUGGUGAGGUAACGGCUCACCAAGGUAACGAUGCGUAGCCGACCUGAGAGGGUGAUCGGCCACAGUGGGACUGAGACACGGCCCAGACUCCUACGGGAGGCAGCAGUAGAGAAUCUUCCGCAAUGGACGAAAGUCUGACGGAGCAACGCCGCGUGAGUGAUGAAGGCUUUCGGGUCGUAAAACUCUGUUGUUAGGGAAGAACAAGUGCUAGUUGAAUAAGCUGGCACCUUGACGGUACCUAACCAGAAAGCCACGGCUAACUACGUGCCAGCCGCCGCAGUAA